GAUGAACGCUGGCGGCGUGCCUAAUACAUGCAAGUCGAGCGAACGGACGAGAAGCUUGCUUCUCUGAUGUUAGCGGCGGACGGGUGAGUAACACGUGGAUAACCUACCUAUAAGACUGGGAUAACUUCGGGAAACCGGAGCUAAUACCGGAUAAUAUUUUGAACCGCAUGGUUCAAAAGUGAAAGACGGUCUUGCUGUCACUUAUAGAUGGUUCCGCGCUGCAUUAGCUAGUUGGUAAGGUAACGGCUUACCAAGGCAACGAUGCAUAGCCGACCUGAGAGGGUGAUCGGCCACACUGGAACUGAGACACGGUCCAGACUCCUACGGGAGGCAGCAGUAGGGAAUCUUCCGCAAUGGGCGAAAGCCUGACGGAGCAACGCCGCGUGAGUGAUGAAGGUCUUCGGAUCGUAAAACCCUGUUAUUAGGGAAGAACAUAUGUGUAAGUAACUGUGCACAUCUUGACGGUACCUAAUCAGAAAGCCACGGCUAACUACGUG
rnacentral:rRNA from 1 species